CUUGCUAACUAUAAGAGGUCCAGCCUGCCCAGUGACAAAGUUAAACGGCCGCGGUACCCUAACCGUGCAAAGGUAGCGCAAUCACUUGUUCUUUAAAUGAGGACUAGUAUGAACGGCAUCACGAGGGUUAUACUGUCUCCCCCCUUUUUUCAGUGAAACUGAUCUUCCCGUGAAGAAGCGGGAAUAUUAAUAUAAGACGAGAAGACCCCAUGGAGCUUUAAACUCAGAAUCAACUGCCACAAACUUAACCUAAUAACCAUGCAGAAAUGACUUCUAGUUUUCGGUUGGGGUGACCGCGGAGUAAAAUAAAACCUCCACGACGAAAGGAACUAACCACCUAAACCAAGAGCCACAGCUCUAAGUAUUAAAACAUUAACCUAAUUGAUCCAAUUACUUGAUCAACGAACCA
rnacentral:rRNA from 1 species